CAGGUGUCGCAAGACUUAAUAGGGAAUCCGGUAUAUGCCGGAGCGGUCCCGCCACUGUAGUAGCGAGCCGGUCUGCACGAGAAAAUCUUUGUGUUUCUUGAGAUGGUCACUGAGGAGUCAAUCCUUGGGAAGGCGCAGACAGGUGAUGAACUGAAGCCAGGAGAACUGCCUGAUUGA
rnacentral:ncRNA from 1 species